rnacentral:rRNA from 1 species
AUUGAACGCUGGCGGCAUGCCUUACACAUGCAAGUCGAACGGCAGCACGGGUGCUUGCACCUGGUGGCGAGUGGCGAACGGGUGAGUAAUACAUCGGAACAUGUCCUGUAGUGGGGGAUAGCCCGGCGAAAGCCGGAUUAAUACCGCAUACGAUCUACGGAUGAAAGCGGGGGACCUUCGGGCCUCGCGCUAUAGGGUUGGCCGAUGGCUGAUUAGCUAGUUGGUGGGGUAAAGGCCUACCAAGGCGACGAUCAGUAGCUGGUCUGAGAGGACGACCAGCGACACGGGGACUGAGACACGGCCCAGACUCCUACGGGAGGCAGCAGUGGGGAAUUUUGGACAAUGGGCGAAAGCCUGAUCCAGCAAUGCCGCGUGUGUGAAGAAGGCCUUCGGGUUGUAAAGCACUUUUGUCCGGAAAGAAAUCCUUGGCCCUAAUACGGUCGGGGGAUGACGGUACCGGAAGAAUAAGCACCGGCUAACUACGUG